rnacentral:rRNA from 1 species
CUCAGGGAUGAACGCUGGCGGCGUGCCUAAUACAUGCAAGUCGGACGCUAACCUCGGGUUAGAGUGGCGAACGGGUGAGUAACACGUAGGUAACCUGCCCAUAAGACGAGGAUAACUACUGGAAACGGUAGCUAAUACUGGAUAGUAUAUAGAAUCGCAUGAUUUUAUAUUUAAAGAUGCGUAUGCAUCACUUAUGGAUGGACCUGCGGCGCAUUAGCUAGUUGGUGAGAUAACGGCCCACCAAGGCGACGAUGCGUAGCCGGACUGAGAGGUUGAACGGCCACAUUGGGACUGAGACACGGCCCAGACUCCUACGGGAGGCAGCAGUAGGGAAUUUUCGGCAAUGGACGCAAGUCCGACCGAGCAACGCCGCGUGAAGUGAUGAAGUUCUUCGGAACGUAAAAUUCUUUUAUUUGGAAAAAACGUAUAAUGUAGGAAAUGACAUUAUAGUGAUGGUACCAAAUGAAUAAGCCCCGGCUAACUAUGUGCCAGCAGCGGC